GCGGGGAUAGCUCAGUUGGGAGAGCGUUAAACUGAAGAUCUAAAGGUCACGUGUUCGUUCACCGCAUAAUAUUUUUAUA